AUCCAGCUAACGAGUUUCAAAUAGGACGAAAUGAGCGUCCUGGAU
rnacentral:hammerhead_ribozyme from 1 species